GGUUAAGCGACUAAGCGUACACGGUGGAUGCCCUGGCAGUCAGAGGCGAUGAAGGACGUGCUAAUCUGCGAAAAGCGUCGGUAAGGUGAUAUGAACCGUUACAGCCGGCGAUGUCCGAAUGGGGAAACCCAGUGCAAUUCGUUGCACUAUCGUUAACUGAAUACAUAGGUUAACGAGGCGAACCGGGGGAACUGAAACAUCUAAGUACCCCGAGGAAAAGAAAUCAACCGAGAUUCCCCCAGUAGCGGCGAGCGAACGGGGAGCAGCCCAGAGUCUGAAUCAGCUUGUGUGUUAGUGGAACGGUCUGGAAAGUCCGACGGUACAGGGUGAUAGUCCCGUACACCAAAAUGCACAGGCUGUGAACUCGAAGAGUAGGGCGGGACACGUGGUAUCCUGUCUGAAUAUGGGGGGACCAUCCUCCAAGGCUAAAUACUCCUGACUGACCGAUAGUGAACCAGUACCGUGAGGGAAAGGCGAAAAGAACCCCGGCGAGGGGAGUGAAAAAGAACCUGAAACCGUGUACGUACAAGCAGUGGGAGCACCUUCGGGUGUGACUGCGUACCUUUUGUAUAAUGGGUCAGCGACUUAUAUUCUGUAGCAAGGUUAACCGUAUAGGGGAGCCGCAGGGAAACCGAGUCUUAACUGGGCGUUAAGUUGCAGGGUAUAGACCCGAAACCCGGUGAUCUAGCCAUGGGCAGGUUGAAGGUUGGGUAACACUAACUGGAGGACCGAACCGACUAAUGUUGAAAAAUUAGCGGAUGACUUGUGGCUGGGGGUGAAAGGCCAAUCAAACCGGGAGAUAGCUGGUUCUCCCCGAAAGCUAUUUAGGUAGCGCCUCGUGAACUCAUCUUCGGGGGUAGAGCACUGUUUCGGCUAGGGGGUCAUCCCGACUUACCAACCCGAUGCAAACUACGAAUACCGAAGAAUGUUAUCACGGGAGACACACGGCGGGUGCUAACGUCCGUCGUGAAGAGGGAAACAACCCAGACCGCCAGCUAAGGUCCCAAAGUCAUGGUUAAGUGGGAAACGAUGUGGGAAGGCACAGACAGCCAGGAUGUUGGCUUAGAAGCAGCCAUCAUUUAAAGAAAGCGUAAUAGCUCACUGGUCGAGUCGGCCUGCGCGGAAGAUGUAACGGGGCUAAACCAUGCACCGAAGCUGCGGCAGCGACACUAUGUGUUGUUGGGUAGGGGAGCGUUCUGUAAGCCUGCGAAGGUGUGCUGUGAGGCAUGCUGGAGGUAUCAGAAGUGCGAAUGCUGACAUAAGUAACGAUAAAGCGGGUGAAAAGCCCGCUCGCCGGAAGACCAAGGGUUCCUGUCCAACGUUAAUCGGGGCAGGGUGAGUCGACCCCUAAGGCGAGGCCGAAAGGCGUAGUCGAUGGGAAACAGGUUAAUAUUCCUGUACUUGGUGUUACUGCGAAGGGGGGACGGAGAAGGCUAUGUUAGCCGGGCGACGGUUGUCCCGGUUUAAGCAUGUAGGCUGGUUGUCCAGGCAAAUCCGGAUAAUCAAGGCUGAGGUGUGAUGACGAGGUACUACGGUGCUGAAGUAACAAAUGCCCUGCUUCCAGGAAAAGCCUCUAAGCAUCAGGUAACAUUAAAUCGUACCCCAAACCGACACAGGUGGUCAGGUAGAGAAUACCAAGGCGCUUGAGAGAACUCGGGUGAAGGAACUAGGCAAAAUGGUGCCGUAACUUCGGGAGAAGGCACGCUGGUGUGUAGGUGAAGUCCCUGCGGAUGGAGCUGAGACCAGUCGAAGAUACCAGCUGGCUGCAACUGUUUAUUAAAAACACAGCACUGUGCAAACACGAAAGUGGACGUAUACGGUGUGACGCCUGCCCGGUGCCGGAAGGUUAAUUGAUGGGGUUAUCCGUAAGGAGAAGCUCUUGAUCGAAGCCCCGGUAAACGGCGGCCGUAACUAUAACGGUCCUAAGGUAGCGAAAUUCCUUGUCGGGUAAGUUCCGACCUGCACGAAUGGCGUAAUGAUGGCCAGGCUGUCUCCACCCGAGACUCAGUGAAAUUGAACUCGCUGUGAAGAUGCAGUGUACCCGCGGCAAGACGGAAAGACCCCGUGAACCUUUACUAUAGCUUGACACUGAACAUUGAGCCUUGAUGUGUAGGAUAGGUGGGAGGCUUUGAAGCGUGGACGCCAGUCUGCGUGGAGCCAACCUUGAAAUACCACCCUUUAAUGUUUGAUGUUCUAACGUUGGCCCCUUACCGGGGUUGCGGACAGUGUCUGGUGGGUAGUUUGACUGGGGCGGUCUCCUCCCAAAGCGUAACGGAGGAGCACGAAGGUUAGCUAAUCCUGGUCGGACAUCAGGAGGUUAGUGCAAUGGCAUAAGCUAGCUUGACUGCGAGCGUGACGGCGCGAGCAGGUGCGAAAGCAGGUCAUAGUGAUCCGGUGGUUCUGAAUGGAAGGGCCAUCGCUCAACGGAUAAAAGGUACUCCGGGGAUAACAGGCUGAUACCGCCCAAGAGUUCAUAUCGACGGCGGUGUUUGGCACCUCGAUGUCGGCUCAUCACAUCCUGGGGCUGAAGUAGGUCCCAAGGGUAUGGCUGUUCGCCAUUUAAAGUGGUACGCGAGCUGGGUUUAGAACGUCGUGAGACAGUUCGGUCCCUAUCUGCCGUGGGCGCUGGAGAAUUGAGGGGGGCUGCUCCUAGUACGAGAGGACCGGAGUGGACGCAUCACUGGUGUUCGGGUUGUCAUGCCAAUGGCACUGCCCGGUAGCUAAAUGCGGAAGAGAUAAGUGCUGAAAGCAUCUAAGCACGAAACUUGCCCCGAGAUGAGUUCUCCCUGAGACUUUAAGUCUCCUGAAGGAACGUUAAAGACGAUGACGUUGAUAGGCCGGGUGUGUAAGCGCAGCGAUGCGUUGAGCUAACCGGUACUAAUGAACCGUGAGGCUUAACCUU
rnacentral:rRNA from 1 species